UUCGUGUAUGUUAACAGGAUCAUGAAGACAAUAUAAACCUCCAUGCAAAUCAGCUUGACCAAUCGUCUUGAAUGUAGUAUUGUCCUGUAUCUGAUAGCUCUUAUGAGAAAAUAUUAGUUUACAAUUAGAAUCAUCAAUCAACUUAGGGACAAAAAUCAAUUUAAACACAAAAUCUGGUAUGUACAGAACAUUAUAAAUGGUAAGAUUAUUAUCAAAUUGUAUUGUUCCAGCAUAUUCAGCAGUGACAGUUGAAUUAUCAGGCAGUUUUAUGAAAACAGGUUUAAUUCUAAAAAAAAUUUUAAACUGGUUUUUAUCGUAAGUAACAUGAUCUGUAGCACUUGUAUCGAGAAUCCAAUGAAAGUUUGAUUUACCUGGUUUGGUAUGAUGUGUGGCCGAGACAUCUUUGUUGACACUAUGUAUUUGGUUUACAGUGUGGUUUGGUGAUUCUUGCAGUAACUUCAAAAGCUGUUGAACUUGUUCAGCAGUGAAAGGAGGAUUAUUUUGUCUUAUGUCUUGAUCACUAUUGUUCCUAUGAAUUUGACUAUCAUCACUUCUUUGAACAAUACUGCAAGAUUGGUCAUUGCCUUUCUCCCUUUCAAAAUUCUCAUUUCUUUGCUUGUACCAUGGAGGGUACCCGUGCUUGGCAUAGCAUUCAU
rnacentral:lncRNA from 1 species